AUGAACGCUAGCGACAGGCCUAACACAUGCAAGUCGAGGGGCAGCGAAGAGGUAGCAAUACCUUUGUCGGCGACCGGCGCACGGGUGAGUAACACGUAUGCAAUCCACCUGUAACAGGGGGAUAACCCGGAGAAAUCCGGACUAAUACCCCAUAAUAUGGGCGCUCCGCAUGGAGAGCCCAUUAAAGAGAGCAAUUUUGGUUACAGACGAGCAUGCGCUCCAUUAGCCAGUUGGCGGGGUAACGGCCCACCAAAGCGACGAUGGAUAGGGGUUCUGAGAGGAAGGUCCCCCACAUUGGAACUGAGACACGGUCCAAACUCCUACGGGAGGCAGCAGUGAGGAAUAUUGGUCAAUGGUCGGCAGACUGAACCAGCCAAGUCGCGUGAGGGAAGACGGCCCUACGGGUUGUAAACCUCUUUUGUCGGAGAGUAAAGUACGCUACGUGUAGUGUAUUGCAAGUAUCCGAAGAAAAAGCAUCGGCUAACUCCGUGCCAGCAGCCGCGGUAAUACGGAGGAUGCAAGCGUUAUCCGGAUUUAUUGGGUUUAAAGGGUGCGUAGGCGGCACGCCAAGUCAGCGGUGAAAUUUCCGGGCUCAACCCGGAGUGUGCCGUUGAAACUGGCGAGCUAGAGUACACAAGAGGCAGGCGGAAUGCGUGGUGUAGCGGUGAAAUGCAUAGAUAUCACGCAGAACCCCGAUUGCGAAGGCAGCCUGCUAGGGUGAAACAGACGCUGAGGCACGAAAGCGUGGGUAUCGAACAGGAUUAGAUACCCUGGUAGUCCACGCAGUAAACGAUGAAUACUAACUGUUUGCGAUACAAUGUAAGCGGUACAGCGAAAGCGUUAAGUAUUCCACCUGGGGAGUACGCCGGCAACGGUGAAACUCAAAGGAAUUGACGGGGGCCCGCACAAGCGGAGGAACAUGUGGUUUAAUUCGAUGAUACGCGAGGAACCUUACCCGGGCUUGAACUGCCAGUGACUCAUGCAGAGACGCAUGUUUCUUCGGACACUGGCGGAGGUGCUGCAUGGUUGUCGUCAGCUCGUGCCGUGAGGUGUCGGCUUAAGUGCCAUAACGAGCGCAACCCCUAUCGACAGUUACUAACGGGUGAAGCCGAGGACUCUGUCGAGACUGCCGGCGCAAGCCGCGAGGAAGGUGGGGAUGACGUCAAAUCAGCACGGCCCUUACGUCCGGGGCGACACACGUGUUACAAUGGCAGGUACAGAAGGCAGCCAGUCAGCAAUGACGCGCGAAUCCCGAAAACCUGUCUCAGUUCGGAUUGGAGUCUGCAACCCGACUCCAUGAAGCUGGAUUCGCUAGUAAUCGCGCAUCAGCCAUGGCGCGGUGAAUACGUUCCCGGGCCUUGUACACACCGCCCGUCAAGCCAUGGAAGCCGGGAGUACCUGAAGCAUGCAACCGCAAGGAGCGUACGAAGGUAAUACCGGUAACUGGGGCU
rnacentral:rRNA from 1 species